rnacentral:rRNA from 1 species
UCGACUUGGAGGUUGUUCCCUUGAGGAGUGGCUUCCGGAGCUAACGCGUUAAGUCGACCGCCUGGGGAGUACGGCCGCAAGGUUAAAACUCAAAUGAAUUGACGGGGGCCCGCACAAGCGGUGGAGCAUGUGGUUUAAUUCGAUGCAACGCGAAGAACCUUACCUACUCUUGACAUCCAGAGAACUUAGCAGAGAUGCUUUGGUGCCUUCGGGAACUCUGAGACAGGUGCUGCAUGGCUGUCGUCAGUUCGUGUUGUGAAAUGUUGGGUUAAGUCCCGCAACGAGCGCAACCCUUAUCCUUUGUUGCCAGCGGUUAGGCCGGGAACUCAAAGGAGACUGCCAGUGAUAAACUGGAGGAAGGUGGGGAUGACGUCAAGUCAUCAUGGCCCUUACGAGUAGGGCUGCACACGUGCUACAAUGGCGCAUACAAAGAGAAGCGACCUCGCGAGAGCAAGCGGACCUCAUAAAGUGCGUCGUAGUCCGGAUUGGAGUCUGCAACUCGACUCCAUGAAGUCGGAAUCGCUAGUAAUCGUAGAUCAGAAUGCUACGGUGAAUACGUUCCCGGGCCUUGUACACACCGCCCGUCACACCAUGGGAGUGGGUUGCAAAAGAAGUAGGUAGCUUAACCUUCGGGAGGGCGCUUACCACUCUGUGAUUCAUGACUGGGGUGAAGUCGUAACAAGGUACCAAGGGCGAA